UACAGAGGGUGCGAGCGCUAAUCGGAAUUACUGGGCGUAAAGCGUGCGUAGACGGUUAUUUAAGUCGGGUGUGAAAGCCCCGGGCUCAACCUGGGAAUUGCAUUCGAGACUGAAUAGCUAGGGUACGGUAGAGGGAAGUGGAAUUUCCGGUGUAGCGGUGAAAUGCGUAGAUAUCGGAAGGAACAUCAGUGGCGAAAGCGACUUCCUGGACCAGUACCGACGUCAGGCACGAAAGCGUGGGGAGCAAACAGG
rnacentral:rRNA from 1 species